AUUUAUAUAGUUUAGGAAAACAUUACAUUUUCACUGUAAAGACAAAGGGAGACUUUUAUAAAUA
rnacentral:tRNA from 1 species